GUGUGUGUUAGUGAUGUAGGGCGUGUCAGGACACAGAUCAGUGUGUUAGUGAUGUAGGGUGUGUCAGGACACAGAUCAGUGUGUUAGUGAUGUAGGGCGUGUCAGGACACAGAUCAGUGUGUUAGUGAUGUAGGGUGUGUCAGGACACAGAUCAGUGUGUUAGUGAUGUAGGGUGUGUCAGGACACAGAUCAGUGUGUUAGUGAUGUAGGGUGUGUCAGGACACAGAUCAGUGUGUUAGUGAUGUAGGGCGUGUCAGGACACAGAUCAGUGUGUUAGUGAUGUAGGGCGUGUCAGGACACAGAUCAGUGUGUUAGUGAUGUAGGGCGUGUCAGGACACAGAUCAGUGUGUUAGUGAUGUAGGGCGUGUCAGGACACAGAUCAGUGUGUCAGUGAGGUAGGGUGUGUCAGGACACAGAUCAGUGUGUUAGUGAUGUAGGGAGUGUCAGGACACAGAUCAGUGUGUUAGUGAUGUAGGGUGUGUCAGGACACAGAUCAGUGUGUUAGUGAUGUAGGGCGUGUCAGGACACAGAUCAGUGUGUUAGUGAUGUAGGGAGUGUCAGGACACAGAUCAGUGUGUUAGUGAUGUAGGGAGUGUCAGGACACAGAUCAGUGUGUUAGUGAUGUAGGGUGUGUCAGGACACAGAUCAGUGUGUUAGUGAUGUAGGGUGACAGUGUCAGGACACAGAUCAGUGUGUUAGUGAUGUAGGGCGUGUCAGGACACAGAUCAGUGUGUUAGUGAUGUAGGGUGUGUCAGGACACAGAUCAGUGUGUUAGUGAUGUAGGGCGUGUCAGGACACAGAUCAGUGUGUUAGUGAUGUAGGGCGUGUCAGGACACAGAUCAGUGUGUUAGUGACUAUUGAAAACAUUCUGCAGUAGCCAUCAUGAUUUCCUGACUUUACGUAUCUUCUGUGUGCUAAUAGUGCAAGCUGACAGCCAUAGAUGUUGUGGGGUUUUGUACGCUCGAUUUACUGAAUUUGAAAUGAUUCAAAUGUAUUAUUGGAAUGUUUUUAUUGUUCAGGCAAUGCUUUGGUAGGUGCAAAUAUCACGUUAGAUGUUGCCUUUUAUUUCAACAUGAAGUCGCAGAGGGUUUAAAUUAUGUUUUGUAGAUAUUUACAUGUUUAUAUUAUCACACACACUUCUGCAUGAAUAUGACUUAAAACUAAGGACCACUGAAUCAUUAAUAUAAAGAUGGUCAUCUAAAUAGAAUUUCAGUGCAGGCUACUAAGGUAGGCUUGAAACCACUUGGAUUUAGAAUUAAAGGUACUACGCAUGUAUGUGUGUAAUUUCACAAAAUGUCCAUAAUAUAUCUGCACCAAUAGUGGAAUGAUAGUGUUUAACAGGAUUACUUAACCGAUAGUGUUGUGAUUGGCUGUGAUGUUUUUGUUUGUCUCCCACCAGAGAGGGAAUCUGUUGUAAGAAAAACCGGGAAAGUUGUUUUGACUUUGUGGCUGUGUUAUCUAGUAACAUUCCACACAAGUAGGAAUUUCCUGGUUGCAAAAAUUCAAUUUCAGUUUAGUGUAGGGAAUCAUUGUACCAUCUAAAUCACUGUGAACUAUCUUUUCAAUAACAAAAAAAAAAAAAAACAUUUUUGAAGCUGGUGGAUCAAAACCGAAAGUUAAAGGCUCAGGCGUCAGUCUCCAUCAUGUUACAGGGAAGUAGAAUGCAGAGGAGGGGGAGAUUUGUUUUGAAUGCAGCAUAAAGCUGUUGCAGUUCCCCCAGCUUCCACACGGGGGAGAAAUUCAGAAUGUAGCACCUUUAACUUCUUCUUAUAUCUGCAUGAACAGACAAACCACUCAUGUUGUCAGCUUUGGCUCAAGGAUCACGCUACUCUAGCUAUAUUUAACAUAACCUCAUAUGCUCUUCAAGGCUACUGCUAUUGUCUGCUUGAGUACUGCAUUUAAUCACCAUUAAGUACUCAAUACACUGUAGAGUGCAUACCUUCUGUAACUACACGUAACAAAAAAUAAUAGUGCACUAGUUAACUAUGUAUAAUGUAUAUAUACUAAUCUACUUCCCACUCCUUACUGGCCUGAUAUUGACUACACUAUCUAGCUAAGUCCCUCUCCUUACUGGGCUAAACUAGCUGGCUAGCUGAACUUGGCUAGUUUUAGUCCUCAUUGCCAAACUUCAUAUAUACUGCACCCUCAACUUCAAAACUCUUUUGCUAGUUAUUGGAACCAUGACAACGGGCAGCCCCUCCCCGCUUAGCUCUGAACGUUUCUGACUGGUCUUGGAACCAUGACAACGGGCAGCCCCUCCCCGCUUGGCUCGAUGGGAUAUGUAGUGAUUUUGCCAACACAGCCAGAUAUGUACGGUCUUGUACCCUUAACCUUUUUUUAAAGUGACUAUUUGUUGAUUAAAUCAGACUUUAUUAAUACCAGGAAUGAACAAGUUAAUUUACAUAAAAAAAUAAUCAUUAUAAAGCAACUGUACAGAGUGCCAAUGGCUACAAUGAAUGGUUAAAUGACUCAGGCACGAAGGAUUAACAGAGCUCCUCCUCGCCUUCUCUAUAGCCCUAGUGGUGACAGAGUCCAUGAUUUUUCGAGUCGACUCCUGGUAUCAGAGUCGUUGGAGUCGACUCUCUCGACAAUGCUCUAAACCAGGGGUAUUCAAAUCUUACCAUACGAAGUCUGGCGCCUGCUGGUUUUCUGUUCUACCUGAUAUUCAAUUGCGCCCACCUGGUGUCCCAGGUCUAAAUCAGUCCCUGAUUAAAAAACGCAGUGGAACGGGCUUCGGGGUCCAGAGUUGCGUUUGAGGGCUCUAAAUAAUGCUGUGUAACUGACUGUCUACAAUUCGAACAAUAUUCUACAUUCUAAAAGUUGGCCCAACAGUCUAAAUAUAUGGCUAUUAGACCGAGACAGUGUUAACCAGGUGGUAUUGCAUUACUAUAUUGAUGGUGGUAGACAAUGGUGUGCAGUGGUGGGCUCUUGCAAUGAUGGUAAAACAUCAGUAGGCUACAUUUUGGUUUGAAUAAACAGAAAGGCUUCAACGCACAGUAAAUGUUUUACACUUACGGCAAGCAAUGUGUCAGAACAUGCAGCAGUAGGCAGCAGCAGCAGUAGGCAGUAGCUGUAGGCGGCGGCAAUAGCUGUAGGCGGCGGCAGUUGUAGUAGGCGGUGUCAGUAGUAGUAGGCGGCGGCAGUAGUAGUAGGCGGCGGCAGUUGCGCGGCAAUAGCUGGCGGCAGUAGGCAGCAGCAGUAGGCGGCAGCAGUAGGCGGCAGCAGUAGGCAGUAGGCGGCAGCAGCAGUAGGCGGCAGCAGUAGGCAGUAGGCGGCAGCAGUAGGCGGCGGCAGCAGUAGGCAGCAACAGUAGGCGGCGGCAGUAGGCGGCGGCAGCAGUAGGCAGCGGCAGUAGGCGGCAGCAGUAGGCGGGCGGCAGCAGUAGGCAGUAGGCGGCAGCAGUAGGCGGCGGCAGCAGUAGGCGGCAGUAGGCAGUAGGCAGCGGCAGUAGGCGGCGGCAGCAGCAGGCGGCAGCAGCAGGCAGCAGCAGUAGGCGGCAGCAGUAGGCGGCGGCAGCAGUAGGCGGCAGCAGCAGUAGGCGGCGGCAGUAGGCGGCGGCAGUAGGCGGCGGCAGUAGGCGGCAGCAGCAGUAGGUGGCAGCAGCAGUAGGCAGCAGCAGUAGGUGGCGGCGGCAGUAGGCGGCGGCAGUAGGCAGCAGGAUACACUUUUUAUAGCCACUUCCUAUUCUGUGGCACACUUCACCAUUAAUUACUUCUGUUGCUGGUUGACAAUAGUGCUUUAUUUGAUAUGUUGAUAUGUACAGUACUUUCUGUUAGAGGUUUCUUAUUUUCUCAGUUUAUAUUAAAUAUGAUUUUAUAUUCAAGCUUUUGUUUACUGUUUGUUUUAUAAUAGUCAUGUUUAUUAUUUUCUUACUUGUAUUUAAAGUAUGUGUUACUUUGUUACUGAGGGGAGAACAGCACAGUAGUGUAUUUGAUGUGAGAACAGUGCCUGAAGCUCAUAGGAACUACUGUAAACCACUGCUUUAGCAUUCUCUACUGCUGUGAAGGACCUUAUAAAACCAUAUGAGGGAUUUAUUGAUGUGUACUGUGAACAUUAGUGCAAUUAAAAAUCACUGUUCAAAUUGA
ensembl:lncRNA